rnacentral:rRNA from 1 species
CAGCAGCCGCGGUAAAACGAAGGGGGCUAGCGUUGCUCGGAAUGACUGGGCGUAAAGGGCGCGUAGGCGGAUAGCACAGUCAGAUGUGAAAUUCCCGGGCUUAACCUGGGGGCUGCAUUUGAUACGUGUUGUCUAGAGUGAGGAAGAGGGUUGUGGAAUUCCCAGUGUAGAGGUGAAAUUCGUAGAUAUUGGGAAGAACACCGGUGGCGAAGGCGGCAACCUGGUCCUUGACUGACGCUGAGGCGCGAAAGCGUGGGGAGCAAACAGGAUUAGAUACCCCGGUAGUCCCUGUCUCUUAUAC